UGAACGCUGGCGGCGUGCCUAACACAUAGCAAGUCGAACGGAAACUAAGCGCUCGGAGACUUCGGUCAAUGUUGCUUGGUUUAGUGGCGGACGGGUGAGUAACGCGUGGAUAACCUGCCAUAUACAGGGGGAUAACAGUUAGAAAUGACUGCUAAUACCGCAUAAGCGCACGGGACCGCAUGAUCCUGUGUGAAAAGCUCCGACGGUAUAUGAUGGAUCCGCGUCUGAUUAGCCAGUUGGCGGGGUAACGGCCCACCAAAGCGACGAUCAGUAGCCGGCCUGAGAGGGUGAACGGCCACAUUGGGACUGAGACACGGCCCAAACUCCUACGGGAGGCAGCAGUGGGGGAUAUUGCACAAUGGGGGAAACCCUGAUGCAGCGAACCGCCGCGUGAGUGAAGAAGUAUUUCGGUAUGUAAAGCUCUAUCAGCAGGGAAGAUAAUGACGGUACCUGACUAAGAAGCACCGGCUAAAUACGUGCCAGCAGCAGC
rnacentral:rRNA from 1 species